GAAUCUUGGACAAUGGGCGAAAGCCUGAUCCAGCCAUGCCGCGUGAAUGAUGAAGGCCUUAGGGUUGUAAAAUUCUUUCAGCGGGGAAGAUAAUGACGGUACCCGCAGAAGAAGCCCCGGCUAACUCCGUGCCAGCAGCCGCGGUAAUACGGAGGGGGCUAGCGUUGUGCGGAAUUACUGGGCGUAAAGCGGGUGUAGGCGGAUCUCUAAGUCGGGGGUGAAAGCCCAGGGCUCAACCCUGGAAUUGCCUUCGAUACUGGAGAUCUCGAGUCUAGGAGAGGUGAGCGGAAUUCCGAGUGUAGAGGUGAAAUUCGUAGAUAUUCGGAGGAACACCAGAGGCGAAGGCGGCUCACUGGACUAGUACUGACGCUGAGACCCGUAAGCGUGGGGAGCAAACAGG
rnacentral:rRNA from 1 species